AUUGAACGCUGGCGGCAGGCCUAACACAUGCAAGUCGAGCGGAUGACGGGAGCUUGCUCCUUGAUUCAGCGGCGGACGGGUGAGUAAUGCCUAGGAAUCUGCCUGGUAGUGGGGGACAACGUUUCGAAAGGAACGCUAAUACCGCAUACGUCCUACGGGAGAAAGCAGGGGACCUUCGGGCCUUGCGCUAUCAGAUGAGCCUAGGUCGGAUUAGCUAGUUGGUGGGGUAAUGGCUCACCAAGGCGACGAUCCGUAACUGGUCUGAGAGGAUGAUCAGUCACACUGGAACUGAGAAACGGUCCAGACUCCUACGGGAGGCAGCAGUGGGGAAUAUUGGACAAUGGGCGAAAGCCUGAUCCAGCCAUGCCGCGUGUGUGAAGAAGGUCUUCGGAUUGUAAAGCACUUUAAGUUGGGAGGAAGGGCAGUAAGCUAAUACCUUGCUGUUUUGACGUUACCGACAGAAUAAGCACCGGCUAACUCUGUGCCAGCAGCCGCUGUAAAAC
rnacentral:rRNA from 1 species